UACGUAGGGUGCAAGCGUUGUCCGGAAUUAUUGGGCGUAAAGAGCUCGUAGGCGGUUUGUCGCGUCUGCUGUGAAAACUCGAGGCUUAACCCCGGGCCUGCAGUGGGUACGGGCAGACUAGAGUGCGGUAGGGGAGACUGGAAUUCCUGGUGUAGCGGUGAAAUGCGCAGAUAUCAGGAGGAACACCUGUGGCGAAAGCGGCUCACUGGACCAUAACUGACGCUGAUGCACGAAAGCUAGGGGAGCAAACAGG
rnacentral:rRNA from 1 species